GGUUGAGGCUACAUAUCAGAGUAGGUUAUGUUGAUGUUUGCAUCCAUACAGCAAAAAACCAAAGCUUUGUUUCUACUUGCAAUGAUCAGGGUCACAUGAAACACGGUUAAAGGAAGAAAAACUUUGGGCUCAGGCAAACCCUCCAAAUCACGUUUGCACCACACAUACGUCAUGGUUGGACAAAUCAAACCCAAUUAAGUCUAGCGAGCUUUGGGCUAAACCUCAUUGGUUCACCACUCCAAAAGUCCCGCCACCUGCAUAUGAGCCAUGAAAUUGGCUACUUUUUCCACCCACCUGCUUUUGUUUUGGCUUGGCCUUGAUAAUACAAUUCAAAAUAAAGGAGAAAAAGGCUCAAACUUCUUGUUUGAGCUUGAAUAAAUUUGAAUCAAUUUGGCAGAGUCUGGCAGCCAGAAAGGCAAUGCAAAACAACAACGACA
rnacentral:lncRNA from 1 species